AUACGGAGGAUGCAAGCGUUAUCCGGAUUUAUUGGGUUUAAAGGGUGCGUAGGAGGUUUGCUAAGCGGGAGGUGAAAUGCCGGCGCUCAACGUCGGAAGUGCCUCCCGAACUGGUGGACUGGAAUGACUCUGCUGUGGGAGGAAUGUGUAGUGUAGCGGUGAAAUGCUUAGAGAUUACACAGAACACCGAUUUCGAAGGCAUCUCACGAAGGGGUGAUUGACGCUGAGGCACGAAAGCGUGGGGAUCAAACAGGAUUAGAUACCCUGGUAGUCCACGCAGUAAACGAUGAUAACUAACCGCUGGGUCGUAGUGAUUCAGUGGCCAAGCGAAAGCGAUAAGUUAUCCACCUGGGGAGUACGACCGCAAGGUUGAAACUCAAAGGAAUUGGCGGGG
rnacentral:rRNA from 1 species